GUUUGGUUAUAUUUGUUGAGAAUACUUUCAAUUACAAGUAACAGAAUUCUGAAUAAUAAUAACUUAAGUAAUAAAGAUAUUCAUUAUAUCAUAUAACAAAGUAUAAAAGUAGGCUUAUCAAAGUUUCAGAGAUGCACAGUGAUUUUUGAGGGCCCUACGCACUUUUGCCUUCGAUUUUCUGCAAAUUUGUUCUCAGCAUGUUGGGAAUAAAAAGCCAAUAGGGCCGGGCGAUGUGGCUCACGCCUGUAAUCCCAGCACUUUGGGAGGCCGAGGCGGAUCACGAGGUCAGGAGUUUGAGAUCAGCCUGGCCAACAUGGUGAAACACCGUCUCUACUAAAAAUACAAAAAUUAGCCAGGCGUGGUAGCACGCACCUGUAAUCCCAGCUACUCAGAGGCUGAGGCAGGAGAAUUGCUGGAAUCCGGCAGGCAGAGGUUGCAGUGAGCCACUGCAUUCCAGCCUGGGUGACAGAGCAAGACUCCAUCACAAAAAAAAAAAAAAAAAAAAAGCCAAUAAUAGGAGAACUCUAUUAAUGUAUCCAAGGGCAAUGGUGUAGGUGCUGUGAUGCAAGAAGAUUCCCUGUCAGGAAUAAAGGGCUUAUUAUGUCAGAUGCUAGGUGUGCUGCCAGCAGACAGCCUCUCAGCUCUUAGCCCCCUUUGAGGAUGACCUCAGCUGACAAAAGCUGCCUAACCUAGCCUACACACUCUUCAUAGGUAGCCUUCAUUCAAUGACUGAUGAACAUGUGGUUAUAAAAGCCUGGCCACUUCACCCCAAUUCAGGACAGCUGGUGUUGGCCCCCAAAAUACUUCCUAAUAAAUCUCCUGCAUGAAAUCACCAUCUCAAAGUGUACCUUCUGGAGAAUACAGUGUUUGGAAAGCAGUAAGUCAUGGCUAAAUACAGCAAUAUGCUCUGGAGUUCACUUGGAUACUUCCCUAGGCAAAAGGCAAGUCCAAUUAUGGAUAAACAUGGCUAGACUACGAGCUCAACAUCAAGAAAAGCCAUUUCACCUAUGUAACCAACUAACCUAGAUGACCAAGCCUAAUUAUAGAGUUUUCAUUCAAAACCACUUUGUGCUUGGUAGACACUAAAUUGAAGCAAGGCAGCAAGUGGGUCUCACAGCCAGUCCCUCAAAGACGUAUCAAAAGCAGGAACUUCUUAAAACACUAGAAACUGAACUAGUACUUUACAACCCAUCAGCAAACUAAAGACGGGGAAGACCACACAAAGAUUAUUCACCUUAAUCAAAAACAUGGGACCAGCUCAGCAGCUCAUCACCACAGAAAAUAGAUGAAUGGAAAGAAAAUGGCUGCUCUAGACACGAGGCAAUUUCUGGAAAUCAGGAUGGUGACAUUGGAGAAGAAACUGAAGAUUCUUGGAGAAAUAUUAACUUCAUCUCAGUAAAAUGGAAGGCUUGCCAUGUUUCUCCUGUGGCUUUGACUACUCCUGGCACAUUGUACCUGCAACUUCCCUGCCUGGCCCUCACCCUGAGGCACAAAGACUCCAGUUUGAAAAGUAUAAUGAUAUUACAAAAUCAUCUUCAUGUGGAGACAUAUUAAAAGAGUAUGCAGCCAAAAGUAUAUAGUAAAAAGGGUAUUAUAUCAGAG
rnacentral:lncRNA from 10 species